rnacentral:other from 1 species
UUUUCCCUGCGCUGUUGGUGAUUUGUAGUGUUGUUGAGCCAACUCUCUUAAAAAGGGUGCUACCACUGUCUUCAAAUGGAAAAUUCAAUAAUUUCCCAGAUGCUGAUAUGCGGCGCCCACCUAUUUCGAUAGGUUUAACUUGUCCUAUAGACACGGCAGGGUGGGGAAUUA